AUUGAACGCUGGCGGCAGGCCUAACACAUGCCAGUCGAGCGGAUGAAGGGAGCUUGCUCCUGGAUUCAGCGGCGGACGGGUGAGUAAUGCCUAGGAAUCUGCCUGGUAGUGGGGGAUAACGUCCGGAAACGGGCGCUAAUACCGCAUACGUCCUGAGGGAGAAAGUGGGGGAUCUUCGGACCUCACGCUAUCAGAUGAGCCUAGGUCGGAUUAGCUAGUUGGUGGGGUAAAGGCCUACCAAGGCGACGAUCCGUAACUGGUCUGAGAGGAUGAUCGGUCACACUGGAACUGAGACACGGUCCAGACUCCUACGGGAGGCAGCAGUGGGGAAUAUUGGACAAUGGGCGAAAGCCUGAUCCAGCCAUGCCGCGUGUGUGAAGAAGGUCUUCGGAUUGUAAAGCACUUUAAGUUGGGAGGAAGGGCAGUAAGUUAAUACCUUGCUGUUUUGACGUUACCAACAGAAUAAGCACCGGCUAACUUCGUG
rnacentral:rRNA from 1 species